UGGGGAAUAUUGCGCAAUGGGGGAAACCCUGACGCAGCGACGCCGCGUGCGGGAUGAAGGCCUUCGGGUUGUAAACCGCUUUUGAUUGGGAGCAAGCUUUCGGGUGAGUGUACCUUUCGAAUAAGCGCCGGCUAACUACGUGCCAGCAGCCGCGGUAAUACGUAGGGCGCAAGCGUUAUCCGGAAUUAUUGGGCGUAAAGAGCUUGUAGGCGGUUCGUCGCGUCUGGUGUGAAAGCCCAUCGCUUAACGGUGGGUUUGAGCCGGGUACGGGCGGGCUAGAGUGCAGUAGGGGAGACUGGAAUUCCCGGUGUAACGGUGGAAUGUGUAGAUAUCGGGAAGAACACCAAUGGCGAAGGCAGGUCUCUGGGCUGUUACUGACGCUGAGAAGCGAAAGCGUGGGGAGCGAACAGG
rnacentral:rRNA from 1 species